UACGUAGGGUGCGAGCGUUGUCCGGAAUUAUUGGGCGUAAAGGGCUCGUAGGCGGUUUGUCGCGUCGGGAGUGAAAACACCGGGCUUAACUCGGUGCUUGCUUCCGAUACGGGCAGACUAGAGGCAUUCAGGGGAGAACGGAAUUCCUGGUGUAGCGGUGAAAUGCGCAGAUAUCAGGAGGAACACCGGUGGCGAAGGCGGCAUCCUGGACCGACACUGACGCUGAGGAGCGAAAGCCAGGGGAGCAAACGGG
rnacentral:rRNA from 1 species